rnacentral:rRNA from 1 species
UGUGAGCUCGAUGAGUAGGGCGGGACACGUGGUAUCCUGUCUGAAUAUGGGGGGACCAUCCUCCAAGGCUAAAUACUCCUGACUGACCGAUAGUGAACCAGUACCGUGAGGGAAAGGCGAAAAGAACCCCGGCGAGGGGAGUGAAAAAGAACCUGAAACCGUGUACGUACAAGCAGUGGGAGCACAGAGCAAUCUGUGUGACUGCGUACCUUUUGUAUAAUGGGUCAGCGACUUAUAUUCUGUAGCAAGGUUAACCGAAUAGGGGAGCCGAAGGGAAACCGAGUCUUAACUGGGCGUUAAGUUGCAGGGUAUAGACCCGAAACCCGGUGAUCUAGCCAUGGGCAGGUUGAAGGUUGGGUAACACUAACUGGAGGACCGAACCGACUAAUGUUGAAAAAUUAGCGGAUGACUUGUGGCUGGGGGUGAAAGGCCAAUCAAACCGGGAGAUAGCUGGUUCUCCCCGAAAGCUAUUUAGGUAGCGCCUCGUGAAUUCAUCUCCGGGGGUAGAGCACUGUUUCGGCAAGGGGGUCAUCCCGACUUACCAACCCGAUGCAAACUGCGAAUACCGGAGAAUGUUAUCACGGGAGACACACGGCGGGUGCUAACGUCCGUCGUGAAGAGGGAAACAACCCAGACCGCCAGCUAAGGUCCCAAAGUCAUGGUUAAGUGGGAAACGAUGUGGGAAGGCCCAGACAGCCAGGAUGUUGGCUUAGAAGCAGCCAUCAUUUAAAGAAAGCGUAAUAGCUCACUGGUCGAGUCGGCCUGCGCGGAAGAUGUAACGGGGCUAAACCAUGCACCGAAGCUGCGGCAGCGACGCUUAUGCGUUGUUGGGUAGGGGAGCGUUCUGUAAGCCUGCGAAGGUGUGCUGUGAGGCAUGCUGGAGGUAUCAGAAGUGCGAAUGCUGACAUAAGUAACGAUAAAGCGGGUGAAAAGCCCGCUCGCCGGAAGACCAAGGGUUCCUGUCCAACGUUAAUCGGGGCAGGGUGAGUCGACCCCUAAGGCGAGGCCGAAAGGCGUAGUCGAUGGGAAACAGGUUAAUAUUCCUGUACUUGGUGUUACUGCGAAGGGGGGACGGAGAAGGCUAUGUUGGCCGGGCGACGGUUGUCCCGGUUUAAGCGUGUAGGCUGGUUUUCCAGGCAAAUCCGGAAAACUAAGGCUGAGGCGUGAUGACGAGGCACUACGGUGCUGAAGCAACAAAUGCCCUGCUUCCAGGAAAAGCCUCUAAGCAUCAGGUAACAUCAAAUCGUACCCCAAACCGACACAGGUGGUCAGGUAGAGAAUACCAAGGCGCUUGAGAGAACUCGGGUGAAGGAACUAGGCAAAAUGGUGCCGUAACUUCGGGAGAAGGCACGCUGAUAUGUAGGUGAAGUCCCUCGCGGAUGGAGCUGAAAUCAGUCGAAGAUACCAGCUGGCUGCAACUGUUUAUUAAAAACACAGCACUGUGCAAACACGAAAGUGGACGUAUACGGUGUGACGCCUGCCCGGUGCCGGAAGGUUAAUUGAUGGGGUCAGCGCAAGCGAAGCUCUUGAUCGAAGCCCCGGUAAACGGCGGCCGUAACUAUAACGGUCCUAAGGUAGCGAAAUUCCUUGUCGGGUAAGUUCCGACCUGCACGAAUGGCGUAAUGAUGGCCAGGCUGUCUCCACCCGAGACUCAGUGAAAUUGAACUCGCUGUGAAGAUGCAGUGUACCCGCGGCAAGACGGAAAGACCCCGUGAACCUUUACUAUAGCUUGACACUGAACAUUGAGCCUUGAUGUGUAGGAUAGGUGGGAGGCUUGGAAGUGUGGACGCCAGUCUGCAUGGAGCCGACCUUGAAAUACCACCCUUUAAUGUUUGAUGUUCUAACGUUGACCCGUGAUCCGGGUUGCGGACAGUGUCUGGUGGGUAGUUUGACUGGGGCGGUCUCCUCCUAAAGAGUAACGGAGGAGCACGAAGGUUGGCUAAUCCUGGUCGGACAUCAGGAGGUUAGUGCAAUGGCAUAAGCCAGCUUGACUGCGAGCGUGACGGCGCGAGCAGGUGCGAAAGCAGGUCAUAGUGAUCCGGUGGUUCUGAAUGGAAGGGCCAUCGCUCAACGGAUAAAAGGUACUCCGGGGAUAACAGGCUGAUACCGCCCAAGAGUUCAUAUCGACGGCGGUGUUUGGCACCUCGAUGUCGGCUCAUCACAUCCUGGGGCUGAAGUAGGUCCCAAGGGUAUGGCUGUUCGCCAUUUAAAGUGGUACGCGAGCUGGGUUUAGAACGUCGUGAGACAGUUCGGUCCCUAUCUGCCGUGGGCGCUGGAGAACUGAGGGGGGCUGCUCCUAGUACGAGAGGACCGGAGUGGACGCAUCACUGGUGUUCGGGUUGUCAUGCCAAUGGCACUGCCCGGUAGCUAAAUGCGGAAGAGAUAAGUGCUGAAAGCAUCUAAGCACGAAACUUGCCCCGAGAUGAGUUCUCCCUGACUCCUUGAGAGUCCUGAAGGAACGUUGAAGACGACGACGUUGAUAGGCCGGGUGUGUAAGCGCAGCGAUGCGUUGAGCUAACCGGUACUAAUGAACCGUGAGGCUUAACCUUACAACGCCGAAGGUGUUU